GAGGGUAUAACUCUGUGGUCGAGCAUGUGCUUAGCAUGCACAAGGUUCUGGGUUCAAUCCCUGGUACCUCUG
rnacentral:tRNA from 1 species